CGGAACGGGUGAGUAACGCGUGAGGGGACUGCCUCAAAGAGGGGGACAACAGUUGGAAACGACUGCUAAUACCGCAUAAGCCCACGGGUCGGCAUCGACCAGAGGAAAAAGGAGCAAUCCGCUUUGAGAUGGCCUCGCGUCCGAUUAGCUAGUUGGUGAGGUAAUGGCCCACCAAGGCAACGAUCGGUAGCCGGACUGAGAGGUUGAACGGCCACAUUGGGACUGAGACACGGCCCAG
rnacentral:rRNA from 1 species